rnacentral:lncRNA from 1 species
UUUUUGUGUGUUUGUUUGUGUCUUAGGGUACCUUCCAACAUAAUGAUGAGGAUUCGGUUUGUAAUUACAUGACUGUUAAAGAGAGUGAUUAACAUGGAUGAAAGUUUGAUUUACUCUUUGUUAUGCUUAGUUGUGGAUAUAACUUAUGAAUUCACAUGCAAUCAUAAAAGAAAAAAAUCAGUUUUUGUAACAUGCUUGAAGGAAGGAACUCAAACUAACGCUACAACCUUAUGAGACUUGAGCCUAAAUGUUUAUUUGGAGAGUUAAAAUCUGUGCAUUCUUUGUUUUCUAAGUCGUUGCAUGAUCUCAUUAUUCCUUGCUUGGUUGCUACUUAGAAGGCGUUUCAUCAUUUAGUUCCAAAUGCUAGAACUCAUGCCCAUUUCAUUCAAAGCAUGUUAUUGAUUUGCAUAACACAUAUUCAAGAUGAAGUUGUGUAGUGACCACCACCUUAGCCAAAAAGCCAUGAAUCCCCUAUGUCAUUAUGUUUUGUAGGUUUUAACCCCGUUGAGCCUUGUUUAGCCUAUGUUGUUGUUAACCCACAUUAUCCUCACCUAGCCUAGUUUAGGACCAUCCAUACCCUUGUUCUUAAAGCAUAGUAAAGCAUGAUUCGAAUUGAAUUCCUUUUGAUCUAUGUUGGCAGAAACCAAGUGUGGGGGAAGUAUUUUUCAUGAGGAAUUGUGUGCCAUAGGCACGUGUGGAAAGAAAAGAAAAGAAAAAAAUUCGUGGAAAAAGAAAAAUGAAGAAAAAAGUGUGAAAAGUAUGAAAAAAGAGUUGAAAAGAUGUGAAAAAGAGUUCAAAGUAUUGUUUGUUGAAGUAAGGGUCCAAAGCAAUGAAUUCGGCCCUAAAGAGUUAUCUAAAUCUUUCCCUUGUGUUUUAAAGUUAAUUUCUGCAAUCUAAGUGAAUUCUAAGCCUCAAUUUCACGACUUUGCUUACUAAUGCUUGAAGAACAUUUGUUUUCCCUAUCCUUUCUUUGUUAACCAAUACCCAAAGCCUCGUUACAACCCUUAACUUCUAUCUUGAGUGUUAUGUGUUUCAAUUUGUGGAGUUUGAAUUUGGUAUGAGCAUAUGGUGUCACUGGUUCUCGCAUCUAAGUAGUAGCAUCCCAUUCAUGAGAUCAUAUCUAAACAUGCUUCUUAACUCUAGAAAUUGCGUUCUUUGUGAUACAUAUAUGUGAGCAUUCGUUUUCAUAUCUUCAUCAAUCUUCUCACAUAUGACUAGUGUAGGGUGUGGAGUUAGAAAAUCUGAGUGAAAAUAGAGUGUAUAUCUUGUAAGGAAUUGAGGGAAUUCUCUAAGGCAUGUUACUACAUUCAAAGCAUUGUUUUGAUUGAUUACUUGUGAAUUAGUAAGUGGUGGCUUUAAUUAAGUAUGUGCUUGUGUAAAGAUGACUCAAAUCUGUGGGGAUAACAAUCUUUAACAUGUCAUGUGCAUUGGAAAUCCCUGAGGCAAACGUUGGAAGGUUUAGGUUUUGUUUUGGUUAAGUUGGUUUCGUUUUGUUUCCUUUCUUUUGUUUGUUUUGCUCGAGGACUAGCAAAAGCUAAGUGUGGGGGAAUUUGAUAGGAGCAUAUUUAUGCGCCUUAGUUAGCUAGUUCUUAUGCAUCUUUGUUAUGUUUUCUUCGUUAAAGUAGUCUUUUAAGCUACUUUCAUGUGUUUUCAGGUUUAAAGGACAUAUUACAUGAAAUGAUGCAAGUUGGAGCUUUUGGAGCAAAAUGUGAGCUUGAAUUGAAAAGGACAUGCUUGGAACACAAGGAUGGGAUGGAAUUGAAGAGUUGAAGAUUUUGAGGUUUCCUACUUGAAGUAGGAAAGCUAAGCCUAAAAGUUUCCAUUUUGGGUUGAUCUUUCCUAAAUCGGAAUUGGCAACCAAAGUUUCUAAAGUUGGAAGUUUCUAUUCUUGGAGGUUUCCAUUUUCGUGAGUUUCUAUUCUCGGCUUUGGGCUUUUGGAUGACCCAUCCUCACUUCUUGGACCUAUGCCGCACCUUAACCCUAAUCCUAGCCCAUUUAAUCAGCCACACCCUAGGGCCUAAUCAUUUAAAUUCUGCCAAGUUAAACCCUAAUCUAUCUACCCUAAGCCCAAGCCGCACCCUAGGCCUUUUCCCAUGCAAAAAUCUGAUUGUAAACCCUAAUUCCUUGUGGAUUUUCUAACCCUAGCCGCACCUAAACCCUAGCCCAUUGUCUAACCUGAUUUCUUUAGGGUUUUAGGUGCCUAUAUAUAUGUGUUUUACAUCCUUUGGCCGAACAUCACCCUCUCCAUAAUUCAGAAAAUUCGUCCAGCCACUUCCCACUCUUUGCCGCAACCAUUCUACAACUCCAGCCACCAUUCUCCACCUCCAUACACCAUUCUACACCUCCAUACACCACCCAUACCUCUUGCCGCACCACCAUAUCAUCCUAAUUCCCUUCUAAAACCAAAAUCACAUCCAAAAACACCCUAAAACCCUCUCUGCCGCAGCAAGGAGAAGAAGAAAGAGGAGCUUGAAGUCAGAAAUUCAAAGUGGAAUUCUUGGGCGUUUUAGGUGUAAUCUUUCUUAUGUCUUCGAUGUUUCAAUUCAAUAAACUUUGUUGUGUGAGUAAUGAGGAACUAAACCCCCUUAGUUGGGGGGUAAUUCGAAACCAUGUACAUGCUUGCAAUUUGAUUCGAUUACAUUCAGUUGUUAUUUCAUAAGUUGUGGAUUCAAUUCGUUCAUCUAUUUGAUUGAUAACUUAUUUGUGUAUGUUGAUUGAGAGUGCACGCUUAGUUUUCAUGCAUGAAUAUGAUGCUAGAUUAUGAGGGAGUUUCACCUAAUAGUUACAAUCUUAUAAUCACAAGUAGUGAAGAUCGCUUGAAAACGAUCGCGUUGAAUGAAUUCUUAGCAUAAGUUUCAUGCAAUUCAUAGUAACGAAUGCUUCAUCAAUGCUUAUGUUUUUCAUAGAACUUAAUGAUUCGUGCUUGUAUCUCUAUUAUGCAAUUCAUGUAGGGAACUUGUAGGGAAUGUUUUGGGUUGUCGUAUGCAAUCAUUCAACUUGAUAAAUUCUGGAAAAACUGAGGGUUAAUUAGUGCAAUUCACGGUUAAUUCGGGGCAUUGAGUCUUUAUAAUUUAUUGGAAGAACAACUGAAAAUCGUUUUGUUUGCAAGUGUGACAUGUGUGGAGAAGAACCUCCUAACUAGCCUUUUAUCCAUCUAGUUCACCAAAAUCGUUUUUACAAUCUGUGCUAGUUAAAGUUUCGUCCAAAACAAAUCCCCCUUUAAUUUGAAGUCUUAGAAUAGUUAGAAAGUGUUUUGAUUUGUGUUUCUAAGUAUUUUGAUUCAAGUUUUCAUCAAAUUUCGUCCAAAUUAGUGUAGGUGCUCAAAACUGCCCAGAAAGUGGUUUUUAGGCAGUUUUGAGCCUUCUAGUUGCUGUUUUGAGUUUUAGGUUUGUUUAAGUGUUUUAACCUUUAGUUUUGCAUUCUUUGAGUCUAGUUUAGUGUUUUAAACUUUGUUUUAUGUUUUUAAGUCAGUUUUCAAGUGUUUAGCAAUCCCUCCUAAUCCCCGGUUUAGAACGAUCCCUACUUACAUCUUUACUACAAUUUGACAAAAAGAGGGUUUAAUUUGAGUGCUAGUUAAUAUCAUAUCAACUUACAAUCCCGGUUGGCGUGAUCAUCCGAAUUUCAAAUGGCGAGACCCCUAACAAGGCCAACAACAAGGCGGAUUUAGGCAACAACCCCCGGGGUUCUAUCAAAAGCCGUUGGCACCACCACAAGUCCAAGCACAACCUGCCCAAUGCAAUGUAGGUAAUUCAAGUGAUAAUGAUAAGAUUUUUCAAUUACUUACUACUUUGACGCAGGAAGUCCAAACUCAAAACAAAGAGAGGCAAAUCCAAGACAAGAGGGUGGACAACUUGGAGAAGCAAGUGGGACAAAUUGCCGAGUUCAUGGGGCAAUUUCGUGAGCAAGGAAGGUUGCCUAGCUCAACGGUGGUCAAUCCGAAAGGUGGAUUUGAAUCUGCAAAAGCUAUGCAUUUGCGAAGUGGAAAGCAAGUCGGAUCUGACCUCAACCCAUCCAAGCCACGUUCCAACGAGGAGGAAGAGUUGAGAAUUGAAGAGGAGGAACAAAGGCCACUCACGGCCAAGGUGGAACCAAAUGUGCCGCAAGUUCCAAGUGAUCCCAAUUCGUCCAAUUCAUCCAAUAAAGGUAAAAACGUGUCAAGUUCAGUUUCUACUAAUGAUUUCCCUGCAAAUGUCCCUUUUCCUAGUAGGUUUAAGCAAACAAAGAAAGAAGAAGCGGAAAAAGACAUUUUGGAGACGUUUCGGAAAGUUCAAGUCAAUAUCCCCCUUUUGGAUGCAAUCAAGCAAGUCCCGAGGUACGCCAAGUUCUUGAAGGAACUUUGCACCAAUAGGAGGAGGAUUUCGACCAAGGAGGUGGUCAAAGUAAGUGAAAACGUCUCAGCCAUCUUACAACGCAAGCUGCCCCCAAAAUGCAAAGAUCCGGGUAGUUUUACAAUUCCGUGUGUUAUUGGUAAUUCUAGGUUUGAAUCUGCCAUGUUACACCUAGGUGCAUCUAUAAAUGUCAUGCCAUAUUCAAUUUAUGCAUCUAUGAACCUAGGAGCGUUGAACAACGAUGGUGUAAUCAUAUAAUUAGCCGAUAGAUCUAACGCUUAUCCAAAGGGAGUUUUGGAAGAUGUGUUAGUGCAGGUUAAUCAUUUGAUCUUCCCGGCGGACUUCUACGUACUGGAGAUGGAUGAAUCGGACCAUGCCCCCUCAUUACCCAUCCUCCUUGGAAGGCCAUUCAUGAAGACUGCUAGGACGAAGAUUGACGUCUAUAAUGGCACUCUAACGAUGGAAUUUGAUGGGGAAGUUAUUAAUUUCAACUCUCUGAUUCUAUGAAGUUUCCUAAUGAAACCCAUUCAUGUUUUGCUAUUGAUGUAAUUGAUGCUUUGUCGCAGGACCAUUUGGUCAAUUUGAAGGAUGAUGCACUUGAUUUGGCCAUUGCACAAGGAAAGACGUUGAAGGACAUGGAAUCAAACCCCAAGGAAGCCCACGGAAUGCAAUUGGAGUCCAUUGCCGUGCUCCCUAGUGAAGAAGUCUUUGAGAUGGUGGCUGCCCUUGAGUCAUUGCCAUCACAAUCGGGUAAGUAUUCGGACCCUAUUUUAAGUUCAGUUUCGGCUAAUAAAAUGCUUCCCUCAGUGGUACAGCCACCUACACUUGAACUUAAGCCGUUACCUAGUCAUUUGAAGUACGUUUUCUUGGGCGAGAAUGAUCGGAUCAUAUUUAUAUAUAUUUUUACUUCAAAUUCACUCGUCUUUUCUUAGUUAGUUCCUUAUAUUUUUGAGCUAUUUACGUUAUUUUGUGUUUAUAGGAUUUGUUAUGCAAAGAAAAUAAAAAUGGCACAAAUGAGUUUUAAAUAAUAAAUUCGUCGAAAAUUGCUUUAGUUGUUCUCAUUCUGUCAUGGGUUAUUGGUAGAAUUAUGUCACGGAUUAUAGGUCUGAAUGCGGAUCUGAGAAAUUGGAUGCGUGGGUUGGGAUGCUGGUUUAUAUUAUGCAUGGAUUGGUGAAUUGGGAAGUGUGUGGCAGUGAUGAUCAUGAAUGGUGUUUCCCUCGGACUAAAACUUGUUAUGCACACCCUAGAAUCUAAGCUUAAUGUUGAGAAUUUUAUAUGCUAUAAUUUAUAUCACCAUGCACGUAGUCUCAUUUUCACUAUUUCUUCUCACAAAGGGAAACUUGAAAAGUUAAAUAAAGAUAGAGAAAGAUAGGAAGAAGGUAAUUAUUUAUUCAGCUUUACUUGCUCGAUCUUGAAAUCGUUGUCAGAGAAUCAAAGAUGUUCCCUUCUUAUAGACUGUAAGUUAUGUGGAUAAAUGACAUUUUCGAUUGGCUAGUUUUAUGUUUUCGAAGUGUGUUUAUUUUCUAAUUGGAAGCCUGAUUCAAACUUGUUAUUUACUAACUAAAUUUUGUCAGGUUGGGAUCAGAGUUUGCACUGAGGUUUUAUUAAACUUAAAGAUAUUUGGUGGAAUGCGGUAGGUGGAGAAUAAGCUGCCUUUGGCAGCAUGUGAAGUAAAAGCAGCACUAGGCCACUUGCAGCGUGGAGCGCAAAAAUAAGAAACAAAAAGAAUAGGCACUUGCAGCGUGAGUGUGGUGGGUGAGGCAUUAGCCUCGGGAGAGGGCAGCCUUGAAAAACGGAAAGAAGAAUAAGGAACCAGGGGAACGCUGCCCCUUGGCAGCGAGAGAGAGGAACCAAGGAAAAGAAAACAGAAAACAAGCAGAAAAGCUGCCUUGAGCAGCUUGUUUUUCUGUGCGUGGCUGCACUUGGCAACACUAGAGGCGGAAAGGGUAGAGCAGUGCGCAGGAGGAGAGAAGCACAGAAAACUGUGCAGAAACCAGGAGGUCAGAGAGGGAUUGACAGAGGCAGCGUGAAGCCUCGGCAGCAAUAGCACAGAAGCAGAAGCUUCACUCAAUCUUUCGGUUAAAUCUUUCCAAAUUUAUAUUUCAUUUCUAUUUUAAUAAUGUGUAAAUAAACUUAUUUUGGCUAGAGGUUAAUUCAAAGCCAUGAAUAUAUUUGUAAUAUGAAUUGAUUACCUUCAGUUGUGAUUUCUGAGUUGUGAUUUAAUUUGCUUAACUGCUUGAUUGAUAACUUAUUUUUGUAUGUCGAUUAAGAAUGCAUACUUAAUUUACAUGCAUGAAUUUGAUGCUAGAAUAUAAGUAAAUUUCACCUAAUCGUUAUGAACUUAUAUUCACAAGUAGUGAAGGUUGCUAGUCACAAUCACGUUAAGUAAAUUCUUGGCAUAAGUUUCAUGCAAAUCAUAGUAACGAGUGCCUCGUCAAUGCUUAUGUUUUUCAUAGAACUUAAUGAUUCUUGCUUGUAUCUCUAUUAUGCAAUUCAUGUAGGGAACUUGUAGGGAAUGUUUUGGGUUGUCGUAUGCAAUCAUCCAACCCAAUAACUUGUGGAAAAACUGAGGGUUAAUUAGUGCAAUUCACGGUUAAUUUGGGGCGUUGAGAUUUACAAUUUAUUGAAAGAACAACUGAAAAUCAAUUUAGGUUGCAUAUGUGUCAUGUGUGGAGAAGAACCCUCUAGCUAGUCCGUCACCUAUCCUUUCACCUUAAUUCAUGCUUUUGUCAAUUCUGUAAUUUAUUUAAGUUUAAUUUACUUCUCGUCAAAACCAAAACCCCCAUUAUUAAAUUAUAUUAUUUAGUUAGUUUUCAUUGUUGUUAGUCUUUUAAUUCAAUUUCCGUCCAUUGCAGUUCCUAGUGUCUAAUUUGAUUGUUUUCAUUAUUUUGAGUCAUCCUAAGUGUGUUUCGAGUUAUUAGAGUUUUUAGCCUAGUUUUGUGUCCUUGAGUCUUGUUUAAUAUUUUUAAAUUAUUUUAGAAUAGAUUACCAAUCCCUCCUAAUCCCCAGCCUAGAACGAUACCCUACUUACAUCUAUACUACAAUUGUCAAAAAGAGGGUUUAAUUUGUGUGUCAAGUAAUUUUCGCAUCAGAGAAUGACACGUUGCCCGUCAUUAUUUCAUCCUCACUCACGGCACAAGAAGAGAGCAAAUUGGUGCGAGUCCUUAAGGAGUACAAAACGGCAAUUGGAUGGACAUUGGCCGACAUCAAGGGAAUUAGCCCUACUACAUGCAUGCAUCGCAUACUUCUAGAGGAGGGGUCCAAAACAUCCCGAGAGGCUCAACGCCGUCUCAACCCUCCGAUGAUGGAAGUUGUGAAGAAGGAGGUAAUCAAGCUGUUAGAUUGUGGCGUAAUCUAUCCAAUCUCGGAUAGCAAGUGGGUCUCACCCGUUCAAGGCGUUCCGAAGAAAUCUGGAGUGACUGUGGUUGCAAAUGCCGAGAAUGAACUUGUUCCUCAACGCAUUCAAACCGGUUGGAGGGUGUGCAUCGAUUAUAGGAAGCUAAACGCCGCAACAAGGAAGGAUCACUUCCCAUUGCCGUUCAUCGACCAAAUGCUUGAGAGAUUAGCCGGGUAUGCUUUCUAUUGUUUUCUUGAUGGUUAUUCUGGUUAUAAUCAAAUUGUCAUAACACCCGAAGAUCAAGAAAAAACCACUUUUACAUGCCCCUUCGGUACUUUUGCAUAUCGUCGCAUGCCUUUUGGUUUAUAUAAUGCACCGGCUACAUUUCAAAGAUGUAUGAUGAGCAUAUUUUUGAUAGGAGCAUAUUUAUGCGCCUUAAUUAGCUAGUUCUUAUGCAUUUCCAUGGUGUUUUCUUAGUUAAAGUAGUCUUUUAAGCUAGUUUUAUGUGUUUUCAGGUUUUAAGGCCAAAGGAUGCAAGAAGAUGGAUUUUGGAGCUUUUUGGAGCAAAAUUGGGCUUGGAAUGAUUAUCACAUAAUUGGAGCCAAGGUUUGGACGAAUUUGAAGAUUUGAAGAUGAUGAUUCCUACUUGAACAAGGUUUCCUAGUUGAAGUAGGAAAGUGCUUACAUGAAGGAGGAUUCCUAAUCGACGAAGGAUUCCUAAUCAACGAAGGAUUCCUAAUCAACGAAGGAUUCCUAAUUGAAGAUGGAUUCCUAAUCACAUGAGGAUUCCUAGAAGAACAAGGAUUCCUACUUGAAGUAGGAAAGUUAAGCCAAGGUUUCCUACUUUGGUUUGAUUUUUCCUAAUUGUCCCUAAAAGUUUCAGCAAUUAUGAAGACUUUCUAAGCAUUCUAGGACACAAAACAACAGCCUAGAACCUGAUAGGAGCAUAUUUAUGCGACUUUGUUAUCUUGUUUUCUUGCAUUUACGUUGUUAGUUAUUGUUUAUUAUAGUGAUUUAAGCUAGUUUCGUGUGUUUGUAGGUUCAUAUGGCAAUUGAAGCAAGAAAGUGCAUUUUGGUGCAUUUUAGAGCAAAAAUGAGCUUAAAUGGAAUGUAUGCUUAUGGAGCAUAGGGAAUGGACAAGUUUGAAGGUCAAAGGAGUUUAAGAAAUGAAGAAAUGAAAGUGAAGAACAAAGAAGUCGGAAUUGGCAACUAAAGUUUCUAAAGUUGGAAGUUUCUAUUCUUGGAGGUUUCCAUUUUCGAGAGUUUCUAUUCUUGGCUUUGGGCUUUUGGAUGACCCAUCUUUGCCUCUUGGACCUAUGCCGCACCUAACCCUAACCCUAGCCCACUUAAUCAGCCGCACCUAGGCCUUGUUCACAUGAAAAAAAAUCUGAUUACUUACCCUAAGCCCAUGCCGCACCUAAUGUUCUAGAAACCCUAGUUUUUGGUGGAUUUCCUAACCCUAGCCGCACCCUAAACCCUAGCCCAUUACUUGUGCUGAUUUCUCUAGGGUUUUGUGGUGCCUAUAAAUACAUAUUUUAGGGUUGAAUCACCUGAAUUUCGUCCAUACUUCCAGCCACACCAUUCUACACAUCCAAAAACCCCAAAAACACAAUUCUAGCCAUUUUUCUUCCUUGCCGCAAGCCAUCUACCACCAUUCUUCCAUAUUUUCUAACCUUCCCCCAUCCUUUUGCCGCAACACAUCCAUUCCACCAAAGAGAGGAGCUUUGCCGUGACCUUUGGAGAGGAGGAAGGCUUUGCCGCAUGCAAUCUUCAACCAUUGGAGUUUCUAGAGUUCUUUCUUCCCUUGUUUCUGUUUUCAUGUUUAAUUUAACUUGCUGUUCAAUUAUGUUAGACAUGUGGAACUAAUUUCUUUUUAGUUAGAGGUGAAUUUGAAGCCAUGGACAUAUGUUUCUAUGAUUUGAUUUCUUCCAAUUAUGAUUUCAGAAAUUGUGAAUGAGAUUUACUUAUCUAUUUGAUUGAUAACUUGUUUAUGUAUGUGGGUUGAGGGUCGACACUUAAUUUGCAUGCUUAAACUUGAUGCUAGGGUAUAAGGGAAUUUCACCUAAUCGUUAUUAACUUAUAUUCAUAAGUAGUGAAAGUCGCUAGUCACGAUUGUGUUAAGUAAAUCCUAGGCAAGAGUAACAUGCGUAUCCCAUAGUUAUGAAUGCCUCGUCAAUGCUUAUGAUUUCCAUUGAACUUAAUGAUCUUUGAUAUGUGUCUCUAUCAUGCGUAUUCCAUAGUUAGGGUCCUUGAUAAGAAUAAUUUGGUUGUAAUGCGUAUUCCAUUCAAUUCAAUGAAUCUAGGGAAAUCUGAGAAUUAAUUGGUGCAAUCUAGUUAAUUUGGGGCAUUGUCAUUCAUGGUUUGUUGAAAGAGUAAUUGGAGAUCGAGUUGUAUGCAUAUGUUCAUGUGUGGAUAAGGAACCCUCUAACUAGCUUCUCACCAUUCUAUUUAAUCACAAUCUGUGUUGCUUUACUUUUGUUUUUAAAGUUUGAGUUUUAAAGUUUUAAUUUCGUCAAAAUCAUUCCCCCAUUUAUUUUAAAGUGUUAGAUUAGUUAGAAAUCCAUUUAGUUGUGUUUUUAAGUGUUUUGAGUCAAGUCAUAGUCCAAAUUCGUCCAAACUAGUGUUAGGUACUCAAAACUGCCCAGAAAGUGGUUUUAAGGCAGUUUUGAGCCUUUUAGUUGCUGUUUUGAGUUUUUAGUUUGUUUAGGUGUUUUAAACCCUAGUUUUGCAUUAAUUGAGUCUAGUUUUGUGUUCUACAUUAUAUUUUAUGUUCUUGAGUCAGUUUUACAUUGAUUAGCAUCCCUAGUUAAUCCCCGGUUAGAACGAUCCCUAUUUGCUCAUAUACUACAAUUGUCAUCCAUAGGGUUUAAUUUGUGUGUCAAGUUAAUUUUCACAUCAGAACCCUUUUGAACCCUUUUGAACCCUUCCCCUAUUUCCUGUUUUUAUGCUUUAAAACACCUUCCUUUUGUGUUUUAAACCCUAGCCGAAUUUCCCUUGCCCUUUCCUUUAAUUUUCUGAUUUGUUUCCUUAAUUCUAGAAGCUUUAAACUUAAUUCCUGAUUACCUAAUUAGCCUAGGGUUUUUAAUUUCCUAAUCCCUUUAAAUAAACAUCCUGGUUGCAGCCACAAAGCAUUCAGCCACACACUCUCCCAAAAUUCGUCAAAACCCAUCCAGAACCUCAGAAACCAUUCCUCCUCCAUCUCUGCCGAUAUCCACCACCAUUCUUCAUCUCCACACCUUCCACACAACACCCAUACACUACCCCCAAGCCUUGCCGUGCCCCUACACCAUCCAUAAUUCAUUCUACAUCACACAAACCCCCCAGAAAUCAUCCUCCCCCAAUCUGCCGCAAGGAGAAGAGAAGGAGACAGUUCAUGAAAAUUGUUUGGCUCUUCAAUCUGAGUUGUUGAACAAUUUUAGGUGUAUUCUAUCUUAUAUUUCAAUGUCUACUUCUUGUAAUCUUUGUUUUUCAUUGAGUAUGAUUGGCUAAAUUCGUUUUGGCUAAGGGUGUAUUCGAAACCAUGUUUAUUUAUGUGAAUAAGUUGAUUACUUCCAGUUAUCGUUGCAUAAGUCUUGAAUACAAUUUGCUUAACCGUUUAAUUCAAAACUUAUUCUUGUAUGUUGAUUGAGAGUGCACGCUUGAUUUGCAUGCUGGAAUUUGGUGCUAGAAUAUAAGUUUGUUACACCUAAUCGUUAUGAAUUUAUAUUCGCAAGUAGUGAAGAUCGCUAGUCACGAUCGUGUUAAGUAGAUUCAUGGCAGGAGUAUCAUGCUUUUCAUAGUUACAAUUGCCUUGUCGAUGCUUAUGAUUUCCAAAGAACUUAAUGAUUCUAACUUGUAUCUUUAUCAUGCUGUUCAUAUAGAGAACUUGUUAGGAAUAAUUUGUUUGCGAUGCAUAUUCAUCCAAUUCAAUGAUUCUAGGGAAAUCUGAAAGUUAAUUUAAGCGGACCUAAUUAACUUGGAGUGUCGAGGUUCAUAACUUAUUGAAUUGAUAACUGGAAAUCGAUUACGUUGCAUAAAUUUCAUGUGUGGAGAAGAAUCCCUUAGCCAUUCCAUCACCCAUUGAUUCAUCACAUUUAGUUUACAAUCUGUUUUAAUUUACAAUCUGUGCAUUUAGUUUAAAUUCGUCCAAACACAAUUCCCCCAUAUUUUGUUAAGUUUGAGUCUUCAUAAUCUGUCCUCUUUGGUGUUUUUAAGUAUUUUGAGUCAUAAGUUUUGUCAAAUUCGUCCAAAUCUUGUCUUAGUUGCUGUUUGAGUCAAUUAACUUGUUUUAGUCAGUUUUGGGCAGAUUUGAGUGUUUCAAAUCUGUUUUGAAUCUUAGUAGUCUAAUUAGAAUCUUUAAGUUUAGUUUUUGUGUUUCUAAGUCGAUUUGUAUUAGAUUAGCACCCCUAGUUAAUCCCCGGUUAGAACGAUCCCUACUUACAUCAUUACUACAAUUGUCACAAAUAGGGUAGAAUUUGUGUGUCAAGUUAAAUUUCACAUCAAUUUUCUGAUUAUGUUGAGAAAAUCAUUGUAGUGUUUAUGGAUGAUUUUAGUGUAUUUGGUGAUUCUUUUGACGGUUGCUUGCAUAAUCUUAGUUUAAUCUUAAAACGUUGCGUUGAAACUAACCUUGUUCUUAAUUGGGAAAAAUGUCAUUUCAUGGUUAAACAAGGCAUAGUUUUAGGUCAUAUAGUCUCUGAAAACGGUAUUGAGGUUGAUAAGUCGAAAUAGAUAUUGUACGUCACUUACCCUCUCCAACUUCGGUUAGAGAGGUUCAUUCUUUUCUUGGCCAUGCAGGAUUCUAUCGUAGGUUUAUCAAGGAUUUCUCGAAGGUUGCACAACCUCUUUGCCGUCUCCUACAAAAAGACGUGACGUUUGAAUUCACCAAGGAGUGCACGGCAUCAUUCAACCAACUCAAGGAGUUGUUGACCACGGCACCCAUCAUUGUUCCACCGGAUUGGAGUCUACCUUUCGAGCUCAUGUGUGACGCGUCCGACUAUGCUUUAGGAGCUGUUUUGGGACAAAGGAAGGACAAGAAGCCGCAUGUCAUCUACUACGCCUCACGGACGUUGAACGAUGCACAAUUGAACUAUUCCACUACGGAAAAAGAACUCCUUGCCGUUGUCUUUGCUUUAGAUAAAUUUCGAUCAUAUCUAAUUGGUACUAAAGUAAUUGUUUUCACUGAUCAUGCAGCUCUGAAGUACUUGCUCACCAAAAAGGAGGCCAAGCCACGGCUAAUUCGAUGGAUGUUGCUACUUCAAGAGUUCGACAUAGAGAUUCGGGACAAGAAGGGAAGUGAAAACGUGGUGGCUGACCACCUAAGCCGAAUGGUGCAUAAUGAGGAGUCUUUACCGAUUUUGGAGACAUUCCCCGAUGAACAAUUGCUGUCCAUUAAGGUUAGUGCACCUUGGUAUGCCGAUAUUGUUAAUUUUUUGGUGUCAAAACGUAUUCCAAGUGAGUUCACUAGGCACCAACGUGAUAAACUUAGGCAUGAUGCAUGGUUUUAUGUGUGGGAUGAUCCGUACUUAUGGAAAUUUUGCCCCGAUCAGAUUAUACGUCGUUGUGUGCACGAUUCUGAAUGUCAUUCAAUUUUCAGUUUUUGUCACAUAUAUGCAAGUGGAGGGCACUUUGGCACACAACGCACAGCCCUCAAAGUGUUACAAUGUGGAUUCUAUUGGCCUAGUAUUUUUAAAGAUGCUAAAACUUUCUGCUUAACAUGUGAUAAAUGCCAACGAAUGGGUGGAAUUAGUGCAAGGGACCAAAUGCCGCAGGUUUCUAUCCUAAAUGUCGAAAUUUUUGAUGUUUGGGGUAUUGAUUUUAUGGGUCCCUUCCCUUCCUCGUAUGGUUUCAUGUAUAUUUUGCUUGUGGUUGAUUAUGUGUCGAAAUGGGUGGAAGCCAAGGCCACCCGGACUAAUGAUUCUAAAGUGGUUGCAGAUUUUAUUAGAACUAACAUUUUUGCAAGGUUUGGAAUGCCACGGGUGAUCAUUAGUGAUGGAGGGUCACACUUUUGCAAUCGGACCAUUGAAGCGUUAUUGAGGAAAUACAGUGUCACCCAUAAGGUUUCUACACCUUACCAUCCUCAAACGAAUGGCCAAGCCGAGGUUUCCAACCGAGAGAUCAAGCAAAUACUUGAGAAGACCGUUGGGCCAACACGGAAGGAUUGGAGCUUACGGUUAGAUGAUGCACUUUGGGCGUAUCGUACGGCGUACAAAACCCCCAUUGGGAUGUCCCCCUUCCGACUUGUCUAUGGCAAGGCGUGCCAUCUUCCCGUUGAAUUGGAGCACAAAGCACUUUGGGCCAUCAAGAAGUUUAACAUGAACCUCGAUGAAGCGGGAAGUCAAAGGAGAUUGCAAUUGAAUGAGCUUGAUGAGAUACGGCACGAGGCAUACGAUAAUGCAAGCAUUUACAAGCAAAAGACCAAAGCUUUCCAUGACAACAUGAUCCGUGGGAAAUCAUUCUCAAUUGGGCAGAAAGUGCUAUUGUUCAAUUCCCGUUUACGUUUGUUUCCCGGUAAGUUACGUUCUAAGUGGAUUGGACCGUUUGUUAUUACUAAUGUUUUUGUUCAUGGUGCAGUCCAAAUCCAAAGCUUGAAAACAGGACAAGAAUUGAAGGUGAACGGGCAUCGUCUGAAGCCCUAUUAUGACACCUUUGUGGAGCAUACCGUAGAUGACUUACCCUUGGAUGCCGUGGGCCCUAGUGAGGAGUGAAUGAGGUCUUCGUCCGGCUGUACGACGUCAAAGCAAGCGCUACUUGGGAGGCAACCCAUGCAUUCAACAAAGGAGGACAUAGAGAGCACUCCAAUUCUAGAUUUGCGUUCCGAAACUCUUCUCUUUGUUGUUAAAUUCGUUUCUGCUAUGUUAGGUUGUUUAGAUGUUGUUUUGUUUGUUUGUUUGUUAUUUGUGUGAGUCUAUGCUUGAAACAUUGAGGACAAUGUUUGAUUUAAGUGUGGGGGGUAACCAAAGUGUUUUGAUGCAAAUUCGUAGGGUUUGUCACCCAUAAUUUCAAAUGUUGUUUCUUGCUGUUUUUAAGCCUUUUUAAGCUGUUUUGGUGUGUUUUAAUGUGUUUUGAGUCAAAAAUCCGAAAAUCCCAUAAAAAUUUGAAAAAUUGUUUUAAAAAAAACCCAAAAAGAGUUGUUUUUGUGUGUUUGUUUGUGUCUUAGGGUACCUUCCAACACAAUGAUGAGGAUUCGGUUUGUAAUUGCAUGACGGUUAAAGAGAGUUAUAAACAUGGAUAAAAGUUUGAUUUACUCUUUGGUUUAUGCUUGGUUGUGGUUAUAACUUAUGAAUUCACAUGUAAUCAUAAAGAAAAAAUCCGUUUUUGUAACAUGCUUGAAGGAAGUAACUCAAACUAACGCUACAACCUUGAGAGACUUGAGCCUAAACGUUUAUUUGGAGAGUUAAAAUUUGUGCAUUCUUUGUUUUCUAAGGUCGUUGCAUGAUCUCAUUAUUCUUUGCUUGGUUGCUACUUAGAAGGCGUUUCAUCACUUAGAACCAAACACUAGAACUCAUGCCCAUUUCAUUCAAAACAUGUCAUUGAUUUGCAUAACACAUAUUCAAGAUUAAGUUGUGUAGUGUCCACCAUAGCCCAAAAGCCGUAUAUCCCUAUUCCAUUAUGUUUUGUAGGUUUUUUAACCCCGUUGAGCCUUGUUUAGCCUAUGUUCUUUGUUAACCACAUUAUCCUCACCUAGCCUAGAUUAGGACCAUCCACACCCUUGUUCUUAAAACGUAGUAAAGCAUAACGCAAAAUGAAUUCCUUUUGAUCAAUGUGUGCGGGAAACAAGUGUGGGGAAGGAUUAGUGAUAUAGGGAUGUGCCAAAGUCUCGAAUGAGGCACGGCAAAGAAGAGAAAAAAAUGAGAAAAGAAAGAAAAAAAAAAAAAAAAAAAGUUGUGAAAAACAUGCAAAAUAGUUGAAAUGCAUGUGGAAAAGAGUUCCAAAGUGUUGUUUGUUGAAGAAAGGGUCCAAAGAGUUGCAUUCGGCCCUAAUUGAUUGUUUGAGUCUUCCCUUCUGUUUUGAAAUUGAUUUCGGCAUGCUAAAGUGAAUUCUAAGUUUUGAUUUCCAUACUUUGCUUACUAUUGUUUUAAAGAACGUUUGUUUUCCAUAUCCGUUUUUGUUAGCCAAUACCUUAAGCCCCGGUACAACCCUUCACUUUAAUCUUGAGUGUUGUGAAUUUCAAUUUGUGGAGUUUGAAAUUGGUUUGAGCAUAUGGUGUCAUUGGUUCUCGCAUCUAAGUAGUAGCAUUCCAUUCAUGAGAUCAUAUUUAUAAACAUGUUAUUAACUCUGGAAAUUGCUUUCUUUGUUAUACAUAUAUGUGAGCAUUCGUUUUUAUUUUUACAUCAAUCUUUUCACAUAUAACUAGUGUAGGGUGUGUAGUUAGAAAAUCUGAGUAAAAAUAGAGUGCAUAUCUAGUAAGGAAUUGAGGGAUUCUCUAAGGC